CGCGCCACUGGAAGUAAAGUUGCUCUUCCUCUCUCACCAAUUCGUUUUAUCACGGUUCUGACGUCACUAACCUGCAAUUGUACGAAUGAACUAACGAACAACCGACCAAGCCCCUGCUGGAGUAACCGGGAGGCAGUUAGUGUUGCAGAGAGUCCCCGCCGCCCGCCCCGGAGGAGCCGAACGGAGGAACGCCGAGCAAAGGAGCGCUGCUCACCUCCGCCCAGUAACACUUCCUAUCGACUACUGGAAAGACCCGUUACCGUGAUUUACAGGCAGGACAAAAAACAAGGAGAGAUAGUGGAGGACUGACGGCCAGCCGGACGGACAGACCAUUGAUACAUCGUGUUGUUUCUACCCCUGUGGAUCAAACCGAGUGGAUCCUUACAUUUAAAUGCUGUAACGGUACCGAGUCCCCGGCUUGAGAGCGAGAGAGAGGGAGCAGCCCAGAGAGCGACAAGACAAGAGGGAUACCACAGAGGGAUCGAAAGCAAAGCACAGGGGGGAAAACAGAGGAGGAAAUCGACCAAGAAAGAAGAAGAAGAGGAUUUGCAAGCAGCUUUGUUUGCAAAGCACACGAUUCUUUGAAAAUCAGCGUCUAUUGCCUUUUCUGCCGUGGAUCCCCGUCUCGGUAACGCUAUCAAGCUGUGCUCUCUAACCAUGGGAUGUACUCUGAGUGCAGAGGAGAGGGCGGCUCUGGACCGGAGCAAAGCCAUCGAGAAGAACCUCAAGGAGGACGGUCUCACUGCGGCCAAAGAUGUGAAGCUGCUGCUUCUCGGGGCUGGAGAGUCAGGGAAAAGCACCAUCGUCAAACAGAUGAAGAUCAUCCAUGAGGACGGCUUCUCUGGCGACGAUGUAAAGCAGUACAAGCCUGUGGUUUACAGCAACACCAUCCAGUCUCUGGCUGCCAUCGUGCGCGCCAUGGACACACUCGGCCUGGAGUAUGGAGACAAAGAACGGAAGGCGGAUGCUAAGAUGGUGUGCGAUGUGGUCAGUCGUAUGGAGGACACAGAGCCUUACUCCGCCGAGCUGCUCUCCGCCAUGAUACGCCUGUGGUCUGACUCAGGCAUCCAGGAGUGUUUCAGCCGCGCCCGCGAGUACCAGCUCAACGACUCAGCGCAGUACUACCUAGACAGCCUAGAUCGGAUUGGUGCGGCAGACUACCAGCCCACAGAGCAGGACAUCCUGAGGACCCGAGUGAAGACCACAGGCAUCGUCGAGACACACUUCACCUUCAAAAACCUCCACUUCAGGCUGUUUGAUGUGGGAGGUCAGCGGUCGGAGAGGAAGAAGUGGAUCCACUGUUUCGAGGAUGUCACAGCCAUCAUUUUCUGCGUGGCGCUCAGUGGAUACGACCAGGUGCUGCACGAGGACGAGACCACGAACCGCAUGCACGAGUCUCUGAAGCUGUUUGACUCCAUCUGUAACAACAAGUGGUUUAAUGAAACUUCCAUCAUCCUCUUCCUGAACAAGAAGGACCUCUUUGAAAACAAGAUCAUCAAGUCUCCACUGUCCAUCUGCUUCCCCGAGUAUACUGGUCCAGACACUUACCUGGAAGGAAUAGACUACAUUAAGUGUCAGUACGAGAGCAAGAACAAGUCAACCAGCAAAGAGGUCUACUCCCACGUCACCUGCGCUACGGACACCAACAACAUCCAGUUUGUCUUUGACGCCGUCACUGAUGUCAUCAUAGCAAACAACCUGCGGGGGUGUGGCCUGUACUGAUGAGCCUGUUUUAGCCUUAGCCAAUUGAUGAAGGGGGGUUUGUCUUGUAUUUAUGUACAGUAUGUUGUACCUGCUUGUCCAUCACUGGUUAUGUGAUGUCCUUUGAUAAUAGUUCAAUCUGUGCUGUGAACUGUGUCACUGAUGGACUCCACAUCGACAAAUGGAUUGUUAGAGCGCUCGUAUGGUUUGUUGAUUCAUUAGCUCGUUGAAACUUCUUUCAAUGUUUUCUUUUUUGUCUUUUUUUAAUUCCUCCUGAAGGAGAACCAACGGAAAACUUCAAUCACGCUGUACUUCUUGCUUAUGCUUGUAUAUAAACUUCAGAUCUCUUAAAUCUCACACAAUAACUCUCUGUCAGCUCAACCUGGAUUCAUGGGACCUAGUUGGACUUGUUUGUACAUAGAGCCAGAGCCUUACUUAAAGAACUAGACUGGUAGGGUGUCAGAUAACCCAGUGUUUAUGUCGACCACCCUGUGUAUGGACGCUGUAGUCCUCCUCACAGCGACCGUGGGUUUGAAUCUGACCUCUGCCUUUUGCUGCAUGUCAUUCCCCUCUCUCUCUCCUCACAACAUGUUCUGUCUCUCUUCAGCUGUCCUAUCCAAUAAAGGACUUACAACAUGUUGACUGGUGCAAUCCAAGCAGUUGAUUCAGAGCGCUCAAAUGUAAUACAACAGAUACAAUCUCUUUACCCAACAUUGCCUUAGACUUUUGCCUUACUUAGGACUGAUGAGAGACUGAAUAUUAAUAUAAACGCUCUAUUCCAUCACAAUGGUGUCUUUCAGAGCACUGAGGACGUCUGUUUGUCUAAGAAGAAAUUAAAACAUGGAUAUAGAUAUAGAUAUAUCAUACAUGGUGUGCUGCAUAGUGUCUGUCUGCAUUGGUGCACUGAGCCAUACUUAGUGACAUUGCUAUGGGAAUGAAUACAGAAAAAAGUUAGUGGACCAUUUAUUGUGACACAACUAAAAUAAUUUAAACUAUUUUCACAAUAAAAUGUCACUGAAAUAAGAGAGAAUUUUUAAAAAGUUUCUUCAAUGUAGAUUCAUUAUGAUACCUUGAAAAUAAUUAUUUAUUGAUGUUGAUGUUAAAAAAUACAUUCAGUUAGAAAAUUGGUUCCCAACCUGGGGUUUGGGCCCCCCUAGAUUAGAUUAGCAGAGAUGAUUAUGUAAAAUGGUGAUAACACACUUACUGAAUAGUUUAUGCAAAGGUCUUUGGGUAAAACAAAGCGACAACCUCCAGUGUUGAAAAAUGAAGCCUAUUUGGAAGAGCAAAAAAACUGCAGAUCAUCGAGGGCCCGCUUGAGGCUGGCUCCAGGAUCCCUGGAAGUCACACACCCCACAUGCGCCUGUCACUGUACAGAGGUGAAUGUUUUUAUAACGCAUCCAUUUUGAGUUUAUAAACGAUCAAGUUACGCAUAGUUAGUCAUGUAGUGAUUGACACUGGAAACAGUGUGGUUCAGUAAGUAACAGCAUCAGUAACUUGAUUAUUAGAAAUCCUGUUGGCCUUGAAUCUGUCUCAUGUGGGAGAAAUUCUGUAUUUUGCCCCAAUGGAAAAUCAGAAGAAUUAUACUUUUGAUCUAGUCUUUUUUUCAUCGACAUUUAAUGAACAGGAUUUAUUUUUUCCAAUGGAAGAAGUUGCUGUCUGUGAUGUUCAUUCUGGCAUCUUCCUUCUUCUCCAUGGGCGCCACCUUCGAUCAUAUUUUAGAAUUGAUUUUCCUUCCUUUUCCGUUGCAGUGUGCUACGGUCCAGUAUAAAGUCACUUUAAAUGAAGAGCUACAAGAGGCAGGGUUCUGACUUCACCACACAGUUCUCCAAUAAUGCUUCAAAGGAAGCAUUGAUUUUUAAAGGGCCCUGGGGCCACAUCCAUUGUGUUGGGCUGCACGGUGUGAAAUCCCCACUGUCCAGCACUCUGCUGUAAUAAGCCAGUGUUGAGGUUUGAAAGCUUGUGUGCUGGUGAGCCGAUGAGCUUCCUCUGGGACCAGAAUGUCAACCUUGUGAUGAUUGCUGUAGCCCUGAUGUGUUGCUUUGUGAUGAGCCUGUUCUCUUCUUGCUGGAGGGCGGUCGUUCAGAGCUGCUCAGGGAUGAGCUCUGAUGUAUUGUGAAGUGUACAGUUUGGGUAAACACUUGAAAUCUUUACAUUUGAGAGAACCAAAGACGUGCAUAUAUAACUAGACAAAAAUGUUCAGCUUUAGACUUCUCAGUUUACAGCAUCAUAUAAAGGCUGAGUCCUCGUUGUGUGUAGGGCUGAGCUGAGUGUGUUUACAGCUUUAGUGCUAAGAGAGCUCUCAGCACACAGAGGCAGGGAGCGUCUUUAUUUAUUUAUGAGCAGGGCAUUUUCUUUAUCCAAUCUUCCCCUCGACACUCAGAAGGCGAGGUCGAGCCUGCACCCUCUGCUUAAAUCUGUGACUUUCUGUCAAUAGGAGAACAUAGUGACAUCCUUUACAGUUAUCGAGGUAACUUCAUGGUUAACUCUGUCACCAUGGUAACGUAUGCUUAGCAACAUAUAACCUGCUCCGCUGCAGGUUAUGUUCAGGAUCAUGUUAAAAAUAAGACAUCAUCCUGUAUGAAACUCAGCUAACUGACCAAUCAGAUCCCUUGAUCACAGAGCUCUGUGAGCUGAUCAUGAGAGGGGAGGGGGGAGAGAGACCGACACACACACACACACACACACACACACACACACACACACACACACACACACACACUGUGUUCCCUGAUAUUAUUGUUCAUUUAAAAUGUAUGAUGGUGAAAUAUAUUAUUCAUGCUUUACAGUUUUCAUCCUACAACAGAGACUAAAUAAAGCACUGAAGCCUGAAGACUUUUUGUACGUAUAGGAUAUCAAACUAAGCGUACGCGAUGCUUUGAAAUACAUUUUCAUAUUCAUAUAAGCCACACACCGCUCCGUAUACUUUCAGGCUGCAGCUGAAAUAUAACCUCUUAAACAUUCAGACAUGCCAUGCACAUGAUAGAUAACUCAUUUAAGGAGAGAAACAGGGGUUAUUAUAUUCACUUUGUGCUCUCAGGGACAUUAGAAGCCUUAAUUUUUCUCAGUUAUCCUACAUUCCUCACAGCUAAUAUGUUAACCGUCUUGUUGGCUUUUUUUUAUAUCAAUUUGCUCUGAGUUUGUCAAAUAUGAGACUGGUCCAUGAUAGUGAAAACCUGGGUGUGUUGAGCACAGUUUGUCAUGUAAGCCCCGCCUCUUCCUCCUGUGCUGCCAGCGAGUGACCUCGCUGUUCAGACUGAGGUCACAUUGGAAAAAUAUCCAAUCUGUCUUCGAUUUGGGUCCACAUAUGAACGUGGCCUGAAUCUGAUUUGAAAAGAUCAGUUUCCAUGUGACUUGUGUUGUUCACACUGUCAUAAAAAUAAAAACAGAUUGGAGUCAUAUAGGAGCAUUCAUUCAUGUGACUUCUGCCACAGAGACAGAGAGUGGCUUUGUUUGCAUUUACCUUUUGUUUUUUCAUUUGCCUUAUUACUUAAUGUGUGUGGGUUCCUACACUUGUGUCUAUAAAGAGUUGACUUGAGCGUGUGCACCAACGUGUUCUGACUUGCUUUUUUAUACCAUAAAAGAGUAAAUCAAAAAGCAUCAACUGUUUUUUUUUUUUUUUUUUAAAUACUAUUGAUUCUUUUUGCGUUGCACCUGUCUGCAGAUGCUUGUGUAAAUGUAUUCAUGCUAAUGAACAUGUACAUGUGUUGUUGUUUGAAGUUCAACCGCCUCCUAAGGGGGGUGCUGUGGUGGAGUUGGUAUCAGUGUAUUCAUCACCCAGAACACACCUGUGCAGCCUUUCCACAUAAACACACCCUCAACACACACACCUGCAGACAGAAGCACUCGCACGCACUGAUGAUACAAACACUUGGGAUUUCAAAAUGUCACAACACCUCCUGCUGGUGCCAAAAAAAAUGUAAAAAGACCAAAUUCAACCAAAAAUACUCAAAUCGAUCGGUUCUCCUACCAAACAGGAAGCCUGAUUCUGAAAGCUUCCACUCAAUAAAUAGCCUGACUCACCAUUGACUCGAGGAUGGUUUCAGGAAGUGCAUUACUUCCAGUUACUCACCUCCUAAAUUCUCAGUUGCCACUCUCCAUUGUAGCUUUACCCUCCUUAAUGCACAUCAUACUCAGUGAUAUAAACCUGUUUGUAAAUUGUAUAGUUGCCAAACUAAUAUGUCACGUUGCCAUGUUGAAAACAUUAAACAAUCAGUUCACACUGUUUUUAACAUUCACACUGCUCUGGAAUCAUGUCCUAGUUAAAAACAGUUUUUGUUUGCUUGUUCCUCCCUAAGAGUGUUCAAGUGUUUGAAUCAGCAUUUCUUAUGUGAAUAAUUUAGUUCAGAGCUACCAUUGCUUGAUACAGAGCAGAACACUGGAUGAGACAUGGCUGUUUUAAUUAUAAAAAAAAGACACUCCUUGCCUUCAUUGUUAGAUUGAAUACAUACUACAUACAGUACAUGUCCCAGGAUGUAUGCUUGAAAGCCUGAAGAGCAGCCAGCAGUACACAUGCGUUGAGCUGGUGAAAAUUCCAUCCACAGUGUUUUAGUUUGCUCCAGUUCACAUAGGGAUGAAAGGAAAAUGCCCACAUUCAUGUUUGCCCUCAGGGUGGCACAGGAAGCAUAAUGUUCCAGCUUUUUCUCCUCGACGUCUUACAUCCCUGUGUCCACCUCAGGCAGCGUACAGAGGGGGGACGUUCUCCUUCUUGCUGCUUUACAGAUUCUUUAGAUGAAAUACUAAAUCAAGUCAUAUCAGAUACAUGUUUUGAUUAAUUAGACCUCAAUGUAUUCAAAAUCAACUUUAAUAUAGCACUGUAUAAGAAGGGAUGUUCAUUUAAAGGACUAUUACUUCCUUUUUUUAUAAACAAAUUUCUAUUUCUACUGAUCUCAUCCGAUACAAGGUUAAGUUACCUUAAAGGUGCAUUAUGGAGCUUUGGUAGUGAAAUUUGAAAGUUGGAGAAGUGAAACAAUUCUGUUAUAUUUUCUGAAAUGAUUACACAAACUUUACUCAAAGGAAAAAAAUUGUUCCCUGGAACACUGUUUGGAGCUAAAAAGUUACCAGGAGAGUUACACUUUCACUGUUGCGGACCCCCCACCAUAGCUUCUCGCGUAGCAUUUUAUCUUCAAACUGUGUUCCAGGGACCAGAUGUUCCUCUGAGGUCAGUUUGUGUGUAGAGUUAUGAACAUAUACCACAUAAUAUGUACACUUCUCCAACUUUCACAUUUUUUCUACCAAAACUCCAUAGUGCACCUUUAAGAAAUGAUGGAGUAUGUUCCCAAACUUUUGGCCUACAAUGUUGUAAAGUAUUGAAGUCAUCUUUAAGCCCAUGAACGUUGUGCCUGCUGUGGCUGUUGUUAAAAAGUUCCUCAUAACUAUUCACUCUUUCAGAAUGAAAUUGUAUUCCCAACAUUGUGUUUACACUUCUUUAGAGAUGCUAGGUGGCUACUUGUACGGCUAGUUAAAAGACGACACUUUGAAUGAGGAAGUGGAUGUUCAGCUAACCGUUGACAAACUGGCUAACCCACACAUUGCCGUCAUUAAAUAGUCAUUAAGACGAUAGAGGCUAAGAGCUAACGUAGCUAGCUGUCUGUCAUUUAGCUAGCUAGUUAGCAUGGUCACAAACAGGGCAAUAAGUAAACGCAGUGUACAUAGAUGUGUUGGUACCACAGGCCUUUGGGUCUAUUGCUGCCUUCAUGUGCUCCUCCGAAAUAUCGUAGUUACUGAAUUACCAGUAACAAGCACAUGGCUCUGCAAAAUCGUCUUUAUGAGUGUGGGAAAUUGGGAAAUUUCAUUGGUACCUGAGUUGCCGAGGUUGUUAUGUUUGCGAGGUGUUUCAGGGAAACAAAAAUGACAACUUGAGAACAGUGUCAACAAUUGAUGACGGAAAAAAAAAAGAAGUAUUUUGUUCAUUUGUUCACAGUUAGCUAUCGGUUAUUUUUAUUAGUUGCACAUUUAAGUAUAUAGUAUAUGCAUCAUGGUGCAGUUCAUUCUUACUUGUGUUCAUGUAGUUUAUUUGAUCACUGAAGCCAAACCCCUAAAGUGAAUAAGACGUAGUCAUAGAGGAAUAUAAUGUGUUGGCUAUCCCUCGCUGUAACCGUUUUGGUCCUCUCUCUCUUUAUGUCUUUCUCUCCGUUGUUUUUGUAUCGCUGGGUUAUUUGGCCACGCUACAGAGAGGGGCUUAUGAAUAAUACAGUUUUAUGUUAGUUUGUUCUUUUUUUGUGGCGGCUGGCUCUGAUGUGAAUGAUGCAAUCAGAGGUUCAUUCAGGUUCCUGGUUAUUCUGGGCGGCAGGUGGUUCCACAAAAGAAAUGUUGGCACCCCGUACCAAUUGGAUGCUUGGUAAAAAAUAAACAAUUUCUGAAAACCAACAAUAGCACAAAGAUUACGAGUUUUUCUUUACUUUGACAUUGAUCCCAAAUGGAGUACCAAAUGUUUUCCAUGUAAGAUAUAAACGAGCUCCUGUUGUGUCUUUUUGCUGUUUUGUAUUUGCCUUUAAAAAGAAAAGAUUUCCUGUAAAUGCUUUUUGUUUAUCUUACUGUGUGCUCAGCUUUCCAUCAACCCUAAUGUUAAAUAAAAGAAGCAUUUCAGCUUCCUCACAACCAGGGACAUCCUGUUCUUCUGCUGUACUGUAGAGGAUUCAGAUAGCUGCUGCAGGGUAAAUAAACCUAAUGAGCUUGUACAGAAAAAGGAGGCAGAAUAUAACUUGUAGACCUUCUCUCAGCCCUCAACUCUCUGUUGCCCACACCAUUUAACCCCUCUCUUAAAGUUACAGACAGGUGUUGUACAGACACCUGCAGCAAAAUCCAAAACAUGUUUUCUUUUUGUGUUUUUUGUCCAUAUGUGUGUGUGUGUGUGUGUGUGUGUGUGUGUGUGUGUGUGUGUGUGUGUGUGUGUGUUGUAUUUUACUGAGCACUGUAAGUAAGAUGCGUCGGCUGUAUCUCCCUCACUGCUGUAAUAAUUUAUUGAAAGUUGUAUUUAUACCUGAGAGAAAUGUCAAUAAAGCACCACGUGAGUAA